rnacentral:rRNA from 1 species
CUUUUGCGCUUAAGAGGUAUUUUAAUUCAACAUCGAGGUCAUAAUCUCACUUGUCAAUUAGAACUUUCUAAGUGAAUUAAGCUGUUAUCCCUAAAGUAACUUAUUCUUUUUUUAAAAAUUUUAGAUAUAAAAACAUAUUUGUUUUAUUCAGAGAAGAAAAGAUAGAUUUUCCUACCGCCCCAGUAAAAUAUUUAUUUAUUUCUCCUAGAAUAAAAAAAUAUAAAGUUUUAUAGGGUCUUCUUGUCUUUAAGAAAAAUUUUAGCCUUCUUACUAAAAAGUUAACUUUAUUUUUUUAUUCCUGAAAAUUCUCUUCCAGUUUACUCUUUCAUUCCAGUCUCU